rnacentral:rRNA from 1 species
UGGGGAAUUUUGCACAAUGGGGGAAACCCUGAUGCAGCGACGCCGCGUGAUUUAGAAGGCCUUCGGGUUGUAAAAAUCUUUUCUAUGGGAAGAAAAUGACAGUACCAUAGGAAUAAGGACCGGCUAAUUACGUGCCAGCAGCCGCGGUAAUACGUAAGGUCCGAGCGUUGUCCGGAAUCAUUGGGCGUAAAGGGUACGUAGGCGGGUAAGCAAGUUAGAAGUGAAAUCCUAUAGCUAAACUAUAGUAAGCUUUUAAAACUGCUCAUCUGGAGGUAUGGAAGGGAAAGUGGAAUUCCUAGUGUAGCGGUGAUAUGCGCAGAUAUUAGGAGGAAUACCGGUGGCGAAGGCGACUUUCUGGCCAUAACCUGACGCUGAGGUACGAAAGCGUGGGUAGCAAACAGG